GUUGGUCCUCCAAACCACCUCUAUGGUACUUGGGGUGUUGGUCCUCCAGAUAUUAUCUAUGGUUAGUGGGGAGUUAGUCCUCCAAACAGCCUCUAUGGUUCCUGAGGUGUUGGUCCUCCAAAUGGUGUCUGUGGUUGGGGGGUUGUAGGUCCUCCAGGUAUCAUCUAUGGUAGUUGGGGUGUUGGUCCUCCAAAUAUCCUCUAUGGUUCUUGGGGUGUAGGUCCUCCAAGCAACCUCUAUGGUUGUGGGGGAGUUGGGCCUCCAAACCACCUCUAUGGUUGGGGGGUUGUAGGUCCUCCAGAUCUCAUCUAUGGUUGUUGGGGUGUUGGUCCUCCAAAUAUUAUCUAUGGUUAGUGAGGUGUAGGUCCUCCAAACAGCCUCUAUGGUUGUGGAGGAUUUGGGUCUCCAAAUUUCAUCUAUGGUUUUUGAGGUGUUGGUCCUCCAAACAGCCUCUAUGGUUCUUCGGCUGUUGGUCCUCCAGGAACCAUCGAUGGUUUUUUGGGGCUGUUGGUCCUCCAACCCUCGGUGGCCGUUGGGGUGUUGGUCCUCCAGGGCUCAUCUAUGGUUGGUGGGCUGUUGGUCCUCCAGAUAUCCUCUAUGGUCACUGGGCUGUUGGUCCUCCAAGGUUCAUCUAUGAUUGGUCCUCCACUCAUCGAUGGUUCUUGGGGCUGUUGGUCCUCCAACCCUCUAUGGUCAUUGGGGUGUUGGUCCUCCAAGGAUCGUCUAUGAUUGGUCCUCCACUCCUCAAUGGUUGUUGGGGUGUUGGUCCUCCGAGCCCCCUCUAUGGUCCCGGGGGUGUUGGUCCUCCAGCUCUCUAUGGUCCCGGGGGCGCUGUUGGUCCUCCAACGCGGGUCCUCCCCCCCCCCCAGGGCCAUGCGGCGCCCCCGCUGCGGGGUCCCCGACAAGUUCGGGGCCGAGCUGAAGGCCAACGUGCGGCGGCGGCGCUACGCCAUCCAGGGCAUGAAGUGGGAGCAGCGAGAGGUCACCUACUGGUGCGCACUGGGGGCACUGGGAGCACUGGGAGGGGCUGGGAGGGGGCACUGGGAAGGAUACUGGGGGCACUGGGGGCGCUGGGAGGGCUGGGAAGGGG
rnacentral:lncRNA from 1 species